UUUUUUAUGGCUGAGUUAAGCUGCAGAUUUUUGAUCUGCCUACGGGAUAUUUAAUUUCCCUUUGCGUU
rnacentral:tRNA from 1 species